GUGCUCAUUUUGGCAGCACAGAUGCUAAAAUUGGAAUGAUACAGAGAUUAGCAUGGUCCCUGUGCAGGGAUGGCAUGCAAAUUCAUAAAAGACUCCAUAUUCUU